rnacentral:lncRNA from 1 species
UUAUACAAACAUAAAAUAAUUUAAUCAUUAUGAAAACAGAAGACAUGAUGGAAAAAUAAAAAUAAAAAAGGACUCCCCCAGUUAGCAUUAGUUUGAUUCCAGUAUCAGUUUUUCACUUUAUCAAUUUUUCACUUUUUGAUCUUUGUAUUUCAUAUGAUUAGAAACACAUGUAAAAAUAGUCUUUACGUUUUGCCUGAAGUGUUCAUGGAUGAAAAUUCAUAUAAAUGAGUACAUUAAAAAUAUAUAUGAACAUAAGCUCCUAUUUUACUUGUUUAAAUACAGAAAUCCGAAAUUUCAGAAAUAUCUAUGGGUUUUAAUACUACACAAAUUCAAAUGUCCCAAAGUUAAAUACUGAUUUCACAAAAUACAGUAUAAUUAGAAAAUAUCAGUUAUAACAACUUUAUAUUCCUAAGUUUCAAAUGGAAAAUUUUCCAUGGAUUCCUAUAAUUUCCAGAUAAUCAAUGUCCUGGUAGAAUCAGCUCAUAAAAAGAGGUGAGCAUCGAUAAUGAUGGCCUAUUGUAACUACAGUCUCAUGUUUUGCAUCAUAUUUGCAUACUGAGCUUUAAUACAGAAACCUAAAUUCUUAUGGAUUCAUAGAUUCUUAAUGGAUUCAUAGAUCAUACCUGAAAUCCUAAUUUUGCAUUCUGUGAUAACUUCACUUAUCACCCUGGGGGGAAAACAAACCACAUUCUUUGUUUCUAGGAUCUGAGUUUCUACUGUUUUGGGGCUUAAACUGGUAUUAAAGUCAUUUAAAAGGCCAUUUUCAAAAAAAAAAAAAAAAAAAAACUCAAAUAAGAAGUGAUUCCUGGGAUCCUAGGAGAAAUCUAUGAAGACACAUGGAUGAAUUAAGCAUAGGAGUAAAGUGAGAGAAAAUAUUGAGGUGUAUUUGGGCCCUCAUUUUCUUCCACUUUUCCCCACAAACAAUUCCCCCCCUAUUGUCUAGAACUGACUGUAUCUCUUCUGAGAUGUAAGGGUUUGGUCUUUAGCUCUUGAGUGCUUUUAAAGGAACCUAGAAAGGCUUGCUCUCUAAGAGGUUUUGAAACCUCUCCUGGGUUAUCUGUGAAGGUGGCAAUCACGGAUUUUACUUUUAAAUGUCAUCUUUUCGGGACGCCUGAGUGGUUCAGUGGUUGAAACAGGAGUGCAAUAGGAAACAAGGUAAGCUAUUCGUCUGAAAAACAAAACAAAACAAAAAGAUGUUAAGUGUACAUUUAGAAAUCAAGAGGAAUCAAAGUAAACAAGAUAAAGUAUGGAAAAGGGAGUCACAGCAUUCCUUUAUUUCUUUCAGAAAGUGACAAACUUCUUCGAAUAAGAUGGGGGAAGAGGGCUGAUUUGCCUCAACCAAUUGUGAGAAAAAUCUAUGAAUCAGUCAGUACCCAAAGACAACCAUGGCCAGACUCGACUUGUACCAGAGACAGACAAAUUUUUCCCAAAUUCCCUUUCCUCUUUUUGCUAUAAAACAACCAGCAUACAGGGACGCCAGGGUGGCUCAGCGGUUUAGCGCAGCCUUCAGCCCAGGGCGUGAUCCUGGAGACCGGGGAUCGAGUCCCACGUCAGGCUCCCUGCAUGGAGCCUAGUUCUCCCUCUGCCUCUCUCUCUCUCUCUCUCUCUCGCUCUGUGUCUCUCAUAAAUAAAUAAAUAAAAUCUUUAAAAAAAAUUCUUAAAAAAAAAAAAAAAAAAAAA